ensembl:lncRNA
GUUAAAACCAAGCAAUUCUUGAAUUACAGAACUGUAAACGUGUACAAUUAGCAAGUAAGGCUGGAUGUGAAUUUUACUCGUGAGGGUGAUUUGUGAUGAAGUUAUGUCACAAAUCUCGUGAUGAUUUAUAAACUACCUGAUGCCAGGAGCUGAGAGCUUUGCAUUGCGUCUAAUGCACUCAUCCCAGUGUUAAGGGACUCGCUCGCCUCCUGGCACCAAAAUCAGAUUGUUUCACAGUUACAAUUCCCGUUGGGAGAAAAAUGCCUCAAUAUAUUUUGUAACCUUAAGGAGAGUAUUUUUUGUUAAUACUAAAAAGUUCAGACUUGGGUAUGAUUAGGUUAUAACAUUCUCAGGGGUUCAAAUUUCCUGCUACCAUUCAAAAUGUUUAUCAACAGCAAACUUUAGCUAUUUCUUUUUUUUUUUUUUUAGGUUGGAGAAAAAUAGCUGAUCUUAAUUUGUGACUCAUGCUUUGAAGCAUUCUCUGAUCCCCUGGUUACUAGUUAAAAAAUAAAAACUAUGAGUUAGACAUACGAAAUGGUUAGGAACGCUUUCGUGCUGCUGAUUUUUAAUGCUGUAAAGUUUCCCCCAGUUUAGCUUGUUGAAAUGUUUUGCAUCCAUUAAUUAAGGAAAAACUCAGUCUGUGUUGCCCCACUUUCCAACUGUGUGUGUCACCCUUUUGUUCCUGUGAUUGCAAUGUGCGACCGAAUGUAAUAUGGAAACCUGUACUAGUGGGAGGUGUGAUUGUGCCCAAGCACACGUGGACCGGACUGGAGAAGCGUGUCUUGAAAAAGCAACUGCAGAAAUUCCUUGCGAUGAUUGUGUGGAGGUUAUUGGCACGAGCCUUCAUUGUAAAUGUUUUUAAUUUCUUUAUAAUAUACUUUCAGCAGUCCUAACUAUGCUGCGUUUUGUAAUAGCUUUCUUCCCCCGUUCUGUCCGUGUAGCACAGAUAAACAUGGCCCUUGGUACCGCGCUUUACCUCAUUUCAAGGAAAAUAUGCUUAACUGAGAGGAAAAAUGUGGUUUGGCCUCGCUGCUGUUUUGAUUUACCGAAUUUGAAAAAGAUAAUUAUAAUGCCUGCAAUGUGUCAUAUACUUGCACAACUUAAAUAGGUCAUUUUUGUCUGUGGCAUUUUUACUGUUUGUGAAAGUAUGACAAAGAUUUGUUAACUGAACUCUUAAUUAUGUUGGAAAAAUGUUUGUUACAGUUUUUUCUUUUUUCUUUUUUUUUUUUUUACAUUAUGUGAAGUGAUUAAAUUUAGAAUGACCUCUAACACUCCUGUAAUUAUAUUUUAAGAUACUAAUGUUUUUACUUUCUUAAUGAUAGCCUGCCCUCGGAAAGAUUCAGAUGAGCCUGCCUAGAUAGCAAGGACUUGCGGCUGCCUUGGUUCAGCUGGUUCAGUUCAUAAAUGCAGUUACUCACGCAGCAGCCAGCUCUUCCAGUCGUUACCUGGAAUCAGACGGUGCCUGCAGAGAGCAGAGACCAUCGAGGUGCAGCCCCGCCACAGGCCAGUCUGAAGGCCUGGUUGAUUUAAAACUUGAUCCCCUGCUCUGUUGGGCUAUCUAAUCCUUUCACACAAAAUUUCAGCCACCGAACUGAGACCUUGAUGUCUUUAUUUCCACUGCAUCCGAAAUCGUGUGAGAGUCCUUCCUAGUUAGUGUCACCUGCAGAAGAGAAACUCCUGUCACGUUUGUUACCAUGCGGUUAUUUUAAUUACAUUUAAAUAGGUAUAUUUUUUCAACCACUGAUUACUGUUUAGGAAUUUAAUUAUUUCCAAAUAAAUUUCUUUAUUUUAUAUUGUACAUGAAAAGUUUUUAAGAUAUGUUUAAGACCAAGAAUAUUAAAAUGAUUUUAAAAGUUGUUGGGAGACGCCAGUAGCAAUACCUAGGGAAUUUGCAUCGAGACUGUUGUGUUUUCCGCUAGCAGUGAAAAUGAUCUUUUGGAACUAACUUGUAAAUAUAUUUUAAUCGUUAAUUGUUUUUUUCCCUUGUCCGUUUUUAUUUGGGCAUCCACCACAGACAAUUUAAAUUUCGUUUUAAUAAAGAUGCGCUCAGAACGCAGCAGCAGGGUACGUAGCAGAAAUGCAAAGGUGGACAGGUAGUACAAUUGCUGGCUUUUCUGCUGUAAAUAGAAUGAAGGAAAAUGACUCAAAUCAAGUAAAACUAACACACAUGAUUUGAUUGACAAUAAAGUAUUUGCCAUCACAUGCUGCAGCUGUUUGUCAGGAAUAUGGUGUCAUUCAUUCAUUCAGUAAUCACGCUGCAGAAAUUGGCAGCCUGCACCUUAUGAGUCACAUUACCUUUAGUCGUUUUUUUGUAUUAAUUGUAGCCAAGUAAAUCUUCAAUAAAGUUAUGGUCUAACCAAAAAAAAAAAAAAAAAAAAAA